GAUGAACGCUGGCGGCGUGCUUAACACAUGCAAGUCGAACGGGAAACCUUUUAUUGAAGCUUCGGCAGAUUUAGCUGGUUUCUAGUGGCGGACGGGUGAGUAACGCGUGGGUAACCUGCCUUAUACAGGGGGAUAACAGUCAGAAAUGGCUGCUAAUACCGCAUAAGCGCACAGAGCUGCAUGGCUCAGUGUGAAAAACUCCGGUGGUAUAAGAUGGACCCGCGUUGGAUUAGCUGGUUGGUGGGGUAACGGCCCACCAAGGCGACGAUCCAUAGCCGGCAUGAGAGGGUGAACGGCCACAUUGGGACUGAGACACGGCCCAGACUCCUACGGGAGGCAGCAGUGGGGAAUAUUGCACAAUGGGGGAAACGCUGAUGCAGCGACGCCGCGUGAAGGAAGAAGUAUCUCGGUAUGUAAACUUCUAUCAGCAGGGAAGAUAAUGACGGUACCUGACUAAGAAGCCCCGGCUAACUACGUG
rnacentral:rRNA from 1 species